rnacentral:lncRNA from 1 species
UUUUCUUAGGGUUAUGGUGGCACUAUGUUUAAAUUGACUUCCCCUCCCCUUCAACCUGCCCCAACUCCCUAUAUUCUAAAAUAGAAGAGUCAAAUAUAAUAAAUGCAGUAAUCCUACCCAUUGUGAGAGGCAUCUUCCACUUUGUAAUUGAAGGGCUCCAAACCUCGCUUCGUCGCUCAGUCCCUUGCUUCUUUCCUCCUCUUUUUCCUUUCCGGCUCUUUAUACCAAUGUGAUUUAAUUCCAGGUGCAUAUUUCAAUUACGUCUUCCAUGAUUCUUAGAUCCAGAGGUAGCACCGGUCCAUCAAUAGCAGCAUCCCUUCCUCUCGCACCCGGUCUAGUAUCUCUUAGGUCGAUAUCCAGUAGCUCCAGUAGCAGCAGAGGGAGAAGAUCGGUAGUAGAAGGUAACGAACUAGAGACUCAGAGAGAGAUCAGAAGCAAAACUCGACAAGGAGAAGGCGGAACCCAGGUGCUACACUAAACUAGGCGUUACCUGGGGCCGCACGACUCAGGCAGACUCUCUACCCGUGCGCGUGCCUAUUUCGCUUUAGGAGGUAUCAGAGCGGAGUUUUGGGUAAAAACCUUUCGAUUUCUGCUAAUUCUCUUCUUGUUGUACCAUGUACAUGACGAUAGCAGUGGAGUGCUGUCAGCGGCGGCUGUUGUUAAGGAAACACUCAAGGAUCGAGUGACCCAACUUGAUGGCAAGGUCGACCAUUUGGACGGACAAGUGUAGACUAUGGCAGAAAGGCAGGGGAAUCCGGAAUCGUUGGUCACCAGACGCUCGCUAAUGAGUACCGCGUCUUCCCAGUGAAGUAGAGCCGUCUUCAUGGGGCCUCAACGAUCCCGGUGGCGAUGUCCAAAGCGUGACGGACCGGGUCAAAUUGAGGAGCUUGCUGUGGAGAUAGGUUUCCGGUUCGUGAACCGAAUGUCUCACCUGGCGACUCCAGACUUGAGUCCCGGAACCACAGCCAUUCAACGGGAUUCGAAAUGCCAAGGCUCGAAGACCUCUGGGACAUGGAACAGUACUUUAAGGCUGUUCGUGCCCCUUUCUUUUGACGACCAAGGCACAAUGGCAACAAUCUAUCUCUCUGGGGAUGCGAAGAAUAUUUGAAACGACUUUCGAACCAUCACACGGAUUCCGACCCAACUACCGUAAGAACAGAAUGGAAGGGCAAAAAAGGAUUCUAUGCGCAGACGUGAAAGCUCUAUCAAUAGAAAGAUUCUAGCUUAUUUUUUUUUAGAGAGGAAUGAUUCCCUCGUCUGAGAACCGCCAUUCACGUACUAUUCCUCCCCACUAAAAAGAGCGAUUGAGAAUCUCGAGAACCUAAACAAAAAUGCAGAAGUGAGCGUACCCUAAGGCUCUCCUCUCUCCCCCUUUUUUAGCCAACACCAUCAACCCCAUUUUUCACUGGGUCAAAGCCAAAAAUAUGAUGAAUAGAAGGAAAGGAGAUCAGAAAGAUAGGCGAACGACUUGACUAUAGUAUAGGUCGGAUGUUUCCGUGAGCAGUAAGCAGCAGAUCUCCCCUUAUUUUGGGAAAGCUGGUGGCCGCGUGUGAAUUCUUUCAAGGCAAAGGGCGGCCUGAUUCGACAUUGUUGUUUACUCUGAUCCGGUCGAGGUGGUUUUCGUUUACCAGCACGUAGGUGUUCUAAAUUCCUAUGACCGAGUCUUUCUGGCCCCUGUGAACAUCUUUUCUUAAUGUAUUAAAGAGGGCCUCUCUAACCGGUGAAAAGUGGUGGGUGUCCACUAAUGGCCAUUCCUGGCUCGGCUCCGAUAACGCAAUUCCGGGAGGAGUCGGUAGUUGGGCACUGGAUCCCUUCGGACCUGGAGAAUGUGUGACGCUGGGUCGGGGUUUGGUGAACCAACGGGUCGCUCCUCUAGUUGAAGUAUCGGGCCCCUUUUUCGUUGCCUAGGUUACACCUUCGGAAUACCCCAUAAGGGAAUUUUUUCUACUCCCCCCAAUCUUCACUUUACGCCACGCCGACUCCCCUUUCGUCAUAAGGCGUGGAAUUAGACCAAGGGGAAUCUCUAUAGGAACUAGUCCCUUAUAUUUCGCACAUAGGAGAUCGAGACACAGCCCCAGGGCUAUGGGGAAAGAUGUAGAUCGAUCGCCCUAGAUAGACAACUACAUAGAGGGCCUCUACCAGUCUAUAUAUUCUUUGAUUUCGUUCCCCCCGUAAGAUAAAUAUUACAACCUAUGAGGUCUGCAAGUUUCACAUCUAAGUAAUACCCGAUCCGAUAGUUUACGAUAUAGAUAGAUAGAUAUAUAUUUCUAAAGAACAUUCUAAGAAAAGAUAUUAAUAGAUAUCGGUAGUUGUCCGGUCGUACCCAAACAAUAAUAUUCCAGAGGGAAAUGCACCUAAGAUCAAAUAUUUCGAGCCGGCUUCCGUAGAAAAUUCAGACUUUCUUUUUGAUGCUGCGAUCACAUAAAAACAUAAACUUUGAGGCUCAAUAGCUAAAUACAUGGCAAUUGAAUCAUAAGCCGAGAUCAUAAAGAGCAUACCGCGAGUAGGAAGUGGAAUUAAUACAAUGGAUUCAAAAGCAUCAAACCUCUCUUGUUCGAAAGAAUUGAAACACAUCGAAAUGGUACCAGCCGUACUUAAUAAUAGAAGGAUUUGGCAGAAAUAUGUAAAAUUGUCCCUCCUAAAAAGAUUAUUCCAGAAUAAAUGGGCAAUAGUUAGGAGAGGUGCGCCAGCGGCGAGCAGAAGCAAGGUUAUUAGAUACCUCAGGAAAGCCCGGCCAGAACCACACGUGCAAGUUUCCCUGCAUGUGGCUCGUCCGUGAUAACUUCUUCGGAUUUGCGUGAACUAGCGGACCGAUCACUAAGUGGGGAUGCUCCCUCCAGCAUGAGCGAACCCUUUCGGAACUGGUUAAGAAUGGGCGCCACUAUCCCAGCCCGGAUCCAGCCAGGUUCUAUUGAUCAUGUCCCCUUCCCAACAGUUGUACCUUGUCUUGGGGCGUCUUUGGCUUUACGAUAGAAAGCUCGCCGGAGAAAGCCAGGUGCCGUAGGUAAGCUCUAUUUGGCCCGGAGCAUUGAUUUCCCAUAACGAAUAGGCUAGCUCUAUCUCUCAAUUACCUAUCCUGUGCUCGAGAAGGUCCCUCAGUUCCUCGGCAGCACCUCGAGGUGCAUUUAGUUGUCUUACAUGAGACGAGGGCUAUUCCCCACUCCAUGGCAUGACACCUUUCGCUCAUCCAUUCCGCCCGUCCAGACGCGGCGCCCUUUCUCAUUAUCAUCUACCGCCCUUUCUUUCCUCCCGGCUAUUCACGCAUGAAGAUCGUCGUAUGUAUGCUCGACUUCGGUUGCCGGUGCUAUAAUAGGUAGAAGUACAUUAUGGCAGGAUCAGUCACCCGGGCAAACAACCCUCCUCCAAGAAGAAUUGUGCUAUGCCCCCCCGAUCCCUAUAGAGCGAAAGAGCUGCCUGGUGAUCCCUAGGUUGCAGCACGUCCGGUCGUUAACUCCUCGCGCCGCUGCCGCCGUUUCUAGGACCGACCGACGCCUCACCUGCACAGGUACCUACGUAGUGUAGUCUCGGUCGCACAUUCAACAUAGCGUUCGGACUCAUGUGCCUUCCAGAACCAGGGGUAUUCGAGCCUGCUGCGUACGAUUAGCCAGCCUUGCGGCGGCAAAAGGAUUAGACGUCCCCCCAUGCUACGGUUCCCUGCGGUCCAAACCCGGUGCCGCUUUAGGUUAGGGAGCUGGACGAUAAUAGCCCCUCCGCAUCCCAAAGCGCGCUGCCCUCCUAGGCGCGCAACACUAAGUAAUCCAAGCCAACCCACAUUACUGACUAACGGUGGAUAAUCAUAUUUCUUAGAGGUACUAAAUACAACUCCAUGAAUGAGCAAAAUGAAGGUUGCAUUAAUGAUAAAGAUCUCUGGGGAAACCGCUAAAAAAAGAUUGAACAUGUGGGAGGAUCCGAACGAAUUCUGCUUUCAUUUCCCCCGUAUGGAGCACUGAGUUACUUACGUUACGGUCUUCAGCAGGCAGGCUGCACUCUAGGCGGCUAGGAAGGCUCGCUAGACCAGCAGCCAGACCAAGAAUGAAUGUGUAAUGAUGGUGAUUCCACACCAGGCUCAAUAAAUAAUUGAAUGUAGAAAGGGGAUCCUAAACUAAAAAGGAGUCCAUGACCCCCUUUUAGAGCGUAUAAGGGGAGGUCGAAUUCCAAACCCUUUCUCUCGAGUAUACCCAUUACCAAAAAAUAUACGUCACUUUGGGACACAUGCGCAUAGCCGCCGCGCGUGGCUAAAAGUCAACCAAAAAAAAGAGCCCAAACUCUUUUUUUUUUUUAGUUCCACUGAGAAAGUCUUUUCUUAUAAAAGACGCCACUCUACGAGGGAAGAUGCAGAUAAAAGGCCAAUAGCCUGAUGUCAGCUUCUACGGCAUAAGCUUUAGAUCUAUCAACGAAUAAUAAACAUUUCAUAAGAAAAGAAUAAUUUGGAGUUUCAAUCUCAAAGAAAGGUAUAGGUUCAAUUUUUCACAGUCAUUUCAAUCUUUUUCUUCCAAUUCUAAGAAAGAAAAAUCCCGAAAAAUCCGUCAAUAAAUGACGAACUCCAUUAUACAGAUGAUAGGACAGGGCUAAGGCAGUAAUCUCGACGGAGAUUAGGAUGAGCUUUGAUGAAUAAAAGAAGAAUUGGUAGAAAUUCUCAUAGGUGAAGCAAAUCAAACCUAUUUUCAGACAAAGAAGAUAAAAAAAGAAAACUAUAGUGGCUAGGAAAGCUCCGGAGAUUCUAUGGGAAAUUGAAAACGUCGAAGUAAGCUGUGGCUUAUAAAUAGGAAGAUGAGGAGAUAGGGGGCGAAGGAUAUUCAUGAUAUUCGGAAAGAUUUAUGUUAAUUCGCUCUGCGAGCAGAGCGGUAUACCGAAAAAGAGAAGCGACUACCUUACUUAAGCAAUUCUUCUUAUUCUUCUUCUUUCUUAGUUGAAGUUCCUAUAUUGGUUUUUUCUUUCUUUUAUGAAUGUUAUAACUCCUAAUUCUUUGGUAGCGGACCUCUUUGAUAGUUCGACCGUUAUCCCCCGUCUAACUCAACUAUUCGACUGUACGGCUAUUGUGAUUGCGAGUCGAAAGGAAUGGAAUAGGAGUGAAGUGGGGAUCACGAACGGUCUUAAGUGAGUUUGAAAAUCGACUUCUUUAUUAAAAGAAAUAUCCUUCCCUGCGCUCACUCUUCCAAGACUUUUGCUCGUAGGUCAGUCUAUUCGACUUUUUCUUGCAAAUCCUCUCUUUUCCGCUUUCUAAGGAAUGUCAAGCCUGUCUGUUUAUGAAUCCUCUGUUCAUGAAUCGGAUGUGCGAUGGGACCCCUUCCUUGAUGAGGAUUGCUAAAAUCUUUCUUUUUUAAUGAAAAAGACCGGGUUUCUAAGCUCGAUGUGGGAAGUGGAGGUUCUGGAGACAGGCUACCUGAGUCAUGUAGCUCGUUUAGAGCAAUAAGGAAUUCAUUCUAACAAAUAAGAUCUAUCGAGUGAGGGAUAUAGAAGCUAAGGCAAGCAAUCAGUACACGAAUCCCUUCCUCUAGAAGGAGUGAACCCGACCACUUCACGCUGAAGUUCAUACUCAUACUGAUCUACGAACCACCCUUCUCUUUGAUUUGUCCUUCCUGACCUCUCUUAAGCCUUUCAACGAUCGUUUAGGUAGCCUCCUUAGGACUCUCAAAAAAGUAACCUGGCCUGAUACCUAUUCACUCGCCUGGCCCACUCGUAUCCAUCAUAUAUAAUAUGCCCGACUAUCGAGGGAAAUCCACCUCUUAGAUAAAGUCUUCGAUCGCCUGAAGAUGGCACAGAAAGACAAAAAGAGCAAAAUCGAUAUAAGAUAAGACAGGAUGUCAAAUUUAUCCCAAUUUCGCUUUCUACCACUCCAUGGAAGUAAGACUAGCAACUAUUAUAGGGCCCUCCUCCUAUUAGGGCAACUACUAAGACUGGCUCGCCGAGAUCGACAGGAAAGACAACUAAAACUCAAACUGCAGGAAAGAGAGAAAGAGGGGGAACUAGAUGAGCUUACUACUCCAACUGUAACUGGAUCGAAAAGAGAGUGGACUGAGCAUCUUUCCAAUUUCAAAGAUCUAUCAAAGCCCAUUUGAAAUGAAGACCCCUGCUCUGCUUUCAAACUUUCCAACUGCAUGUGAGUAAACUCCUACUCGCUUUAGGGCAGUCUAACCCACAGGCUGCAAGCACCAGCUUGCUGGCAGAACGAAAGACUUGAAGCGGAUAGCUGGAAACUGGCAUUUCCACUAGAUAUAUCUCAAUGGCUGCAAGGGCUUACCUUGGCGCUCCUACUGUUAGAACCCCAACUGACAAGGGAACUCAAGUGGAAGACCUUAACACUUCCACUGCCCGAAAGCCUUAUCAUUGGAAGGAAACUGCACGAUUAGCAGUGAAUAGGAUCAAUCCUCCAUAUUCUUCUCUUCGGCAUAACUGGUAAGCAGCAUACUACAGCAAUAGACCAGUCCACUAACAGCGGUAUACAGUAAGUCAGUAUAAGUCAGUACAGGAAGGGCACGCGAAAUAGACAACUACUUACUAGGCUAGGGUAGUCGUUUUUUCAUCUUCCCUUUAUUUUACUUUACCCUAGUGGAAAUUCUUUUUUCAAAGUUACUAGGUAAUUAGUGAAGAGGUUUAUAAAAGUGACAAGCUUGGUGGAAAGCUCUUAUCUUAGGAGGAAAAGCUAAGUAUGCCCGAGUAGUCUUGAUAUUGGUUGGUUUGAGGUUUCGUUAGUUUUAUACUAACAAGCAAGCUUCGGCGACCGCUCGACCUAGCGCGUUAGCCCCAGUACUAUAGGGAAGGCCUAUGCGAAGAAAAGGCCUGCCCAUCAUCAAAGCAAGCCCAAGUCCAUGCAAGAAGGCCCUCCAGAUCUGUCCAAAUUCAAAGCCCGUCAAAGGCAUAUGAAAUCAUGCAAAGGAUCCGAGCCCAUCCAAAUGAUGUUCAGCGGGCUAAACCCAAGUAGCUCUGGCCCAUGAUCCAAGAGACCCGAAACUCGUUCAUCAUGCUAUCCUUACCUUCUAACUAACCUCUUCGAUUUCGCUUAUCCUAACAGUGAUUGAUUAGGCCUAACUGUUGAAGCUGGUUAUGCAAAGGUUGUUCACACAGGCAGUGUGGCUUCACUUUGUAGUUAGUUUGCUCAUUAAACAGGCAUGUAUAGUACUCAACUGCGGAAAACUCAUAAAAAUGGUGCCUAUCAUCAAAUUCGUGCCGCAUGGCGGGAUUACUCUACUUCUACUCUAUAAAUAGAAACUCGAUAAGCCUUCGAGCUCUAAAAUAAAAUAAAAAAUUAUUAUUAUGGCAGCUCUUGCAGUUUCAGAAAGGCUUUUUCAAAUUUCACAAGAAAUCCAGGAAAUCGAGAAUGAGCUGGGUCAACGCCGAUUUGCCUUAAGAGCCUUUUUGAGGCACCUGCGUCCGGCGAGCCCUGCCGUCGUAGGAGACCGCAUGCGCGCGGCAAAUGAAAACAUAAUGCGCCUCGAGACGAGACGACAAAUGCUGCGAGAUGAACAGCGAGCGCUCAUUGUGCAGGCUGUCACCCUCGGCGACCGGAGAGACUAAGAAAGAAUAUAAUAGUUACAGUCUCUUCCGUUGUGGAAGUUUAUUUACAGAAAUAAAGGAGUUCCAUAUUGUACUCCCUAUUUGCUUUUCUAGUGCUACUUUCCUUGAAAUAAAGAUCGUUGAUAGCCAUAGCAUUUUCUCAAUAAAGAAAGUGAGUAGCAGUGUACUGCUGAAUUGAACUUUCUUGUAUAUUGAAUUGACAAAUUACUAAUGCCUUAAGCUCGGGAUAUAUAUAUAAAUUCUUGGAAAGAUUAUAAAACUCAUGCAGUCACCCCUUAUCUUACUUACUCCAUUUCUUUUGUCAGGAAUAAUGGCCUUAGAUAGCGUUUAUCUUAUCUUUCAAAAGACCUUAAGCUCGCUAUAUUAACCUAUAAAAGUCUUCCGCUUUCAAAUGUUAUCUUUCGCAUGCCUUACGAAAAGCAUUUCAAAAGUGUCAUUUUUUCUGUAUUUUUGGUUGAAAAAGCAAGAGGAAAUGGCACAUUAUUAGAUAAAUAGUGCAGGCAUGUGUUGCACUUUUUUCGAAAUCGAAAGAGCUCUUUUGAGGGGCGCAGCGGAAUUCAUUCAGAAAGCAAGACAGAAUAGGCUCUUACUGCUAACGAAAGAACUUCCCUUAAAUCAAGAUAUUAGCUGUGGGACUUCGGUGCCUUAAGCGGAAGAGGGGAUUUCUUUCUGGCUGCUACGCUCCUUUCUUAUUCUCUUAUUCUUUUUUUCUGUCUCUGAAGUGAGUGAAGUCAAGCUAGCGUCAGCAAAUCGGACAUAAGCAAUACACCCCGUCCUUUAGAAAGACGAUAGCGAUUCUCUUCCAGUGCUUUAAUUAAGAGAAAAAAUAGUAACCUAUAAGAAGAAAUUUUAGGAAUACCCGGAGCCUAGCUCUAUCGGAACUUACCUCAGCGACUUCCUAUCGGCUUCGAGCUAUUAUGCCCCACUAAUGAGGAAUAGGCAACUAAAUCGAAGUCUUCAUUUCCGGCUUUCGUAACUCCCAGGUAACUUCACCCUAAGCCUACUAUACCAUCUCCCGCUUCAAGGGCUGCUCUGCUCUGUCUGAAGAUAGGGCUUUUAGUAUAAUAUCAAGACUGACCUCCUGCUUCUGACUAUGACUGAUUUGCUGAUGUUGAGUUCUAAAUGCUCUAGCUUGAUUCUCAACUCUUAAGAGGGCCUUUAAAAAGACUUAGAUCGAGGAAUCUCAGCAAACAUAGGCAUUUAGCUCAGAUUACGCAUCUCCGACUGAAAACUGAGGAGCGCAGCAAGAGAGUGAAAAUCGGUAAGAAAUUACUUGACUUCAAAUCAGUCAAUCCUAAACAAAAUAUACUGAUUACAGGCUCUACUGAAAUACUGAAACGAAUGAAAUCGAAGUCAAUCUUACUCAAUCCUGGAAAUAGGAGUCGAAAGCCAAUCAUUUGAGAUUGAUGCUUAGGCUUCUUCCUUAGCAAAGAGAAAGUAAGAAUUUGAGAUUUAUCCCUCUAACUCAAGAAAAAGAGCUGCAACUAUUUCCUCAGUCUGACUUCCGUGGAAGUCUAAUUGAUUUCAUUCCUAGGUAGAAUUGGGAGUUGAAAGCCAAUAGGAUUGAAGUCAGAUUCUUUCUCUUUAAAGUUACGAUUGUUCGAAGUUCAAUUUGAUCCGGGUAAGAAGACCUAAAGGCGGCCAAAAGGUUCUUGGGUUUCUUACGCUUUUAUCUCUGUCUCUGCUGUAACUGCUAACAACAAUAGCAAUUUAUCUUCCUUUCUGGCUUAGCCUGUUGCGUAACCGAAUGAGUGUAACGAAAAGAUACGUGAGUUGAACAUAAAAGCUCUAUACUUUACAAGCAAGAGAUUGCUUCAUUCAGGACAGAAAGUUCCUACAAUACUAAAAAAGGGAAAGCUAAAGCAAAAGGGCCAAGAAAACCCCUGCGAAAGCGCAUACGAAUUAUUCCUUGCGCUGCAUUAUCGUAUAAUAAGAUAAAGGCCAGUCACUUCGACUCCUUAAAUAGUGGCAGCAGGUCUUUAUCCUUCGCUUUGGGGUUGAGUUUACGUGCCAUCUUCAGCCUACCUAGGAAAGGGCUACCUUUUUAGUAAAGCAUUUCCCCCGGAAAUAGCCUUAGCUGGAUUUCUUUCUUCGUAGAAAAGUGGCAACAAGCCUUCGUAUAGGGCCAGGGCCGCUUAGCUGCAUCCUUUAGCAUCCUAUGGGCCUAGGUCAGUCAACUUUUUUUAUUAUAAUAAUUUGGUCUCCUGCCCCGGGGCAUUCCUUUAGUAAGUAAUCCGUGCAAAUGAGGGCCUAAGGCUAUUCCUUGCUGCGGAGCUAGCAUUCACACCGCUUUCCUCAUGUCAGCAAGCUCGGGGUCUAACCUCAUCCUAAAACGACUUCUCCAAGCCGUAGACGGAAGACCAAUAAUGAUACAUCCUUAGCUAUAGCUAUGGGAAGAAGUACGAUGCUUGUAGCCAAUUCUACCUCUUAGCGAGGGCUUGACAGAGUUCUAAUAGGGGAUUCCGGUAUAUCGUAUAGUUGUUUAAUCUUGCUUUUAGGAGCGCUCUUUUCAUCCAACUCUUUAUUGAAUAAAGAAAGAGAUUGAGGAGCGUAGGGGCUUAUAGUUUAAUUGGUUGAAACGUACCGCUCAUAACGGUGAUAUUGUAGGUUCGAGCCCUACUAAGCCUACCUUUUCACCUCCGGUGGCUCAGUCAAAGUACCCAAGAUCUAAAUCUAGCGAAACCACACUGCUGCCGCUGCCCUUCGGGCAAUACGCGAUGCAGCCGAAUGAGUUUCACUUGAAAUGAGUUGAUAAGUGUAACGAAAAGAAAGACAUAGGGAAUAGUUCAACUCAUAUUUGAGAUACGUAUCACUCAAACCUACGUAUCUUUCAGUGAAACUCCUUCCUUCGUUCACUUCAAACGUCGUAUUCUAUACGUAAUGAAAAGAUACGUAUAGAGAAACUCAUUUCAUUGCCAAAGAAAGCCCUUUGCUGAGAAGGUAUCACACGAGGAUAUCUAAAAGAAAAUAAAAGAAUGCAAUAGAACACCUUUUCUGACAUCAGGAGAUGAAAGCUUCAAGCCAAUCGGGCGGGCGUCGAAUGAAAUAGGUAGCCGGGUUCUCUUUCUACAACCCUUUUGAAUGGAUGAGUUUAGAAGGCUGCCGGAUAAGUAGAGCCUUUCAAAGAAUUGUUGAAGCAGCCGGGCAUCCACGUAGGACCUGUUGCGAAGUCUUCCCUACUCAAGGGAAUAGAGCGAUUGUUGCAAUCAGAGAAGCCAGCCCCGACUGUGCAUCGAGAAGUUCGUCUAAGCAUGAAUAUUUUCUUUUAUGGGGAACGUCGAUCUCUCUCUAUGGCGUAGAUAGAUAAACCCGAAGCUAGUCUUGAUGGACAAGAAAUGCCCGCUCCGCUACUAAACUCACUUGGAGAAAGCAACUAGGUCCCCAAAAGAAAGGGGCAGGAUAUCAACUCAUUUUUCCCAUUGCAUGCGACAACUAGUCGAGAAAAAAGGGAAGAAAGCCUAAGCGAGCGAGACAAGAAGGAAUGUUGGAGCUAUUCCCUUAGUUGAGUCCUUGCCUCUGGCUUGGGUUCUUAAGCAAUUGGGCGGAUUAAUACUGUAUUACUGUAUCAUUCUGGGCAAGACAGUCGGAAGCGAGCCAAAGGGUCGGCUUACUUUCUGGAAGAAGUAGCUGCUACUGUGAUCAUAUCUGCUGUUCGCAUAUCCGCUCAAGCAAGCCUGUCCCAAGCCGGCCAAGCAGUUGCUUUGAAUCGGAUGUGAGGGAUUGAAUUACUUUAGUAUAUUAGUAUAAAUAUAUCUUUCCCGGGGAAAGAAAUGAUAGUAGCUUGUUGCACGGUCUCUCUAUUGAUUUAUAGUUUGAGGAUUCGUAAGAAGUUGGGGUCGAUUUCUUUCUUUGUUGUUGAUAUCCUACAGAUAUUAUGUUAUUAUGUAUUUCAUCCCUUUGUUUUGUAGAUUCAUUAUGUUAGUGCUUUUAUGGGAAUGAGUUGAUAAACGAAAUGUUCCUUAUUCCCUAUGUUUCGUUACUUCGUUUAUCAACGAAAUGAGUUGAACAUAGUGAAACGAAAUGUUCCUUAUUCCCUAAUCCCUAUUUCUUUCUUUUCGUUUAUCAUAAUAGCAACGAAUACGUAUCUCAAAAGCAUCAAGUUCGGAGGCACCACCUGUAGCGAAUCCAAACAUACCCAACGCCCCCUCGUCUGCCGCUGAAACCCCCCACUCUGAUGCUUCCGGCUCCCGAGGCAAAUCAGCCCUGGACGAAAGAAAGGAGGAACUUAUUCUUUCAAAUAUAAAACGAUCUCGGGGAUGGCCAAAGAGUUGCGGAUUUCAAUGUGACAACCAAUUUGAGCUUAUCGAGGAGAUGAAAAAGGAAGCGGGAGCUAAAAAAGAAGAUUGCCCCGCGACCAAUUCCGCGUUUAAUGGGAUUAGGGAAUACCAAAGUCACGUCCAAGAUGGACGGGGCGGAGGGAAACCUAACGAUUGUUCCAAUCGAGAAGGGGGGAAGACAGGAGUACUCAACGGGGAUAAGGGAUCCCCCCGGGUAGAGGAAGUAAGAGAUGGCUCGCUUUUGGGAGGUAGACUUGGGCAGCAAGCUAUCUGUUGUCCUGACCCGGAAAGCAAAAGUAGCUCGAGCCAAAGGCGACAGCGAGGGGUCGAAUCAAAACCUUUCUUUUCUACGCUUUCUUCUAUUACGAAAUGGAGAGUGUUGUUAUAGUCCUGCUACUUUUAAAGCAUUUCAAGUAGUAGCAUCUCAAGCCAGCAUAAAAAGUGUUUCCAUCAGAUCAGGGCUUUAGGCAAGCUAGCUAGUCAGUGAGCCAGAGAGGGUAGGAGUCACUUGACUUGGAAGAAGAAUUCUCCUAAGCUUGGCACUAGGUGAUCUAUGUGUCAAAGGGCUACUUUUCUUCCUAUCCUUUCCCUUGCCUUGCAGCCUAUGCAUCAAUCCCAUUCUACCGAUGUGUACUUCUUUGGAACAGCUUUCCCGAUCCCAUCAUACUCUUUACCUUUCUUCCCCUUUUUGGUAUUUGCUAUCUUGUGGUCCGGUCCCUUAUUUUUAGGCUUACCACGUGGCUGAUUCCUCUUGCGACGUCUGUUGGGAGGUAGCAUCCAAUAGAUCUAUCUACUAGGCCUUUCGUCGUGGAAGCAAAUGGAAAAGCAAAAGCGGAAACAGCUAGAUCAACUGCCGAAUCAGUCGAACUUGAAGCCUUCGCUCCUAUGUCAAUGGUUGGGAUAGCUGGCUUACCUUCUUAGUUAGGACAUUCAAGCUUCCAGUCUAAUGACUGGACACGACCAACCCCGACUCUCUAAGCCCUCGUCUUUACAGGAAUUGUCGCAGCUGAGCGUAGAUGACUUCCCGCAGAUUGGGCUACUUCUAUUUAUCAAUAUAGAAAGAAGAUCCUACUUUCCCAUCAAGACUAAAAGCGAAAAAGAACCUCUCAUCUUGGGAUGAGACCCUGGAAGCUUUGGCCCGGCAUACUACUAUCAUAUCAGGGAUGAAAGGUGAUCAUUUCUUGUUCUUAGCAGCUAUGGCUAUUCAUUUGAGUAUUCAGGUAAUGAAUAGUCAAUGAGCGAAGGGCGCAGUUACCACAGCUAUGAGUUCAAGCGGCUACCCUAUAGUAGCAGUUCAUUGAGGCUCGACAGACCUGGGCUAAGGAGAUGAUCUGGGUAAACCCCCUUUUUUGGUGAGGUAAGGCACCUCCCACUUUCUGCUAGAGCAAAAAUGAAAGAAAUCGUGUAUGUAAUCCGCCCUCAAAGAGAGCUCAGCUCAAGAGGACUACAUUCAACAGAAGAACGAAUGAAAAAGGAAUUCCUACAGGGAAAGGCAAAUUGAAGGCUUUGGGACAACAUAUUAGAAUAGACAAACAAAGAAAGACAGAGAUAGGGUGCAUCGAAGAAGAUGACUGGUGAUUCUUCACUUCUUUCUUCUCUUCGUUCUCCAUCUAAGUUCCUUAUUGUUUCAACUGCAAACUCCGAAAAAUGAUCCCUCCUUAUACUGCUUGCCGUUCGUUAGCUACUCUAGUUCUCACUCCAAGUAUUCCGUUCGUUCGGACUCUCCAUUCUGGUUAGCUCGGUAGAGUGGCAGGCGAAAUCCGUCUCUCUUUAUAGAUAUUGAGAUAGAUAUUGAGUAGGUAGGCGGCUAGUCACUUCUUACUCGUGUAGUGAGAAAAACCUUAUUUUAUUCUUAGUUCAAUCACGAGUUGAAGGUUUGCGAUAGAUGUUGCCUUUCCUGGAUAAACGAUCUCAAAUCGGCUUUUUUAUUGUUGCAGAUCUGUGAAAAUAAUCGGUUCAUUUGUCCCUGGUUCCGGUUGGAAGUGUCAUCUGUAGCGGGAAUCGAUAUCUGUAUUUGUAUAAAUAUAAGAGAUGCUUUUUGCUUUGUCUUUUAAGCCGGAUCUAGAAUGUAUUGGUAAGGAUCUCUCCCCUGCCUAUUUGUUUGGAGGGUUAUAAUGAUUUUGUGACUUUUUUGGAUUCUUUCUCUCGUCUUACUACUGUUUAUCUGAAAAUAUCUAAGGAUGAGGUUCGUUUUAUCCUUCCUUUGAGAUGAAUCUUCAAAAGUCUUUAUGGUCUGAAGCAGUGUUAACCUAGGUUUACCUGAUUAAUAGGGAUGCUUUCCGUGGUAUUGAAAGGGACCUGUACAAGUGUGAAAUCCUAAUGCUAAAAACUUUAUUCUUCUACCUAAUUUCUAAAUGUAUCGAAGUCCUGGGUAGUAAAGAAAAGUGGGAUGCUAUAUUUCCAGGAUUGGGAUUCGUAAAUAUGUUAAUAGAUUCUUGAUCUAUAUCUUCCAUUUUUGGGUGUGUGUGUGUUAUGUCUAUGUAACCGGGACCUCUCAUGAGAAAUUGGAUCCUAGAGCUGUGAGAUGUGUCUUCACUGGUUAUCCGACAUCACAAAAUGCUUUGAUCCCAUUACAAAAAUCAAGUAUGUCUCUAUGGAUGUUACUUGAUUUUCAAAUCAACCCGAUUUUCAUGACCCAACCAAGAAAACCUUGAGUCAUCAACAAGAAGAACCUGAGUCAAGUGAUCAGCCGUCUUUUAUAAUCCCUAUGUCAUCUGCCCAUAGAGAAAACAAUGCUACUACUCCUCCAGGGGAAGAUGCGGUCAAGACCAAUUAGUGGAAGACAUACUGACCUGACGAGGUAAGAGAGGACUCGUUGUCCCUUAUGUUCCUCUUGUUAAGAGCGAGGAUCUUUCCCUUGAAUUGGGAAAUGUUAAUAUGCCUCAAGAUGAAGAGAGUGAAACUAACCCUGAAACUUCUGAUCUUGAUCUUACGAUUGCAGUCAGGAAAGGGGAAAAAGAGCCUGUACCUAACUCCCUUUGAACUACUAUAUAUCCUAUCCAAAAUUGUCAUCCUCCUACAAGGCCUUUCUUCCUCAUGAAGAAGGAGUAGAGACCUAGCUUUCCUCUGUCUGUUAAAAUGUAAUGCUAUACCUUUUGUCCUUGAGAAUCGGCUGGGUAUAGCGGGAAAGAGUUUGACGAUCUAGUUACAUAUCACAUAAGAUGGGUACUCCCGAUAUUGUCUUGGGAAUUAUCAGUAUAUAUAGUAGCGUACUGGACUCCAUCUACAUAAGUAGAAGCAUUCAAGAAUCACUUGACAGUUCUUAUUUCAAUUUUCCGACUCUCAUCUUGUUAACUGACUUAACCGCAAUACUUAUCCAAAGACAGGACAAGUUGAAAGAGCUUCGGUAGUUACACUUUCUGUCUCGCGUAAGAAAGAGAGUUUAGAGUGCCAUACAAAGAACCUUAGAUAAGGGGAUUCCUCCCAUUGACUGAAGUUCAGAGUCAACCUUCCACACAAGGCAAUCUUCUGAUAGAGGGGAAGAGGCAGAGCACAACCGAUUCUGUGGCACAAGAUGCGCUGGUAUUGCAAAAGCAGGAAUGAGUUCACAACGUUCGAAUAAGCUACUCGACCGACUAAAGCUAAAAGGAGAAAGGGAGAUGACUCUAGUUGUUGAGUACCCUGAGGAAGGUACCGGAUCGACUUCUAGUUGUAGCGGAUCUUACUUACAUCGGUUCUAGCGCUUUCUCUUGAUUCUUUUUUUGAAAGAUCUUUCCUUACCUAAGAAAAGACCUAGAGGAAGAAAAGGAAGCCUCAUAGACUGAAGCCUCUGUUCAGUUCUUGCUCCGGUUGGUUUACGAAUCAAAGGAGACUAACAAACUACAACAAAAGCAAGUGCGCCGGUCGGAUUGACUAAACCAAUGCAACAAUCAAGAAGGCGAUCGAGAAGACAUGAGUUCCCAAACUGUAGUAUAAGUCUUUAUCGCAGAUGUGAGCUUCCCCUCAUCUUACUUCCCGCCACAAAGACAAUAAGAGAAGGAAACCUCUAACAAUAAAGAAGAUGUACUACAACCGCAUACACAUACCCUCGAUACAAAGCAAGAAAGAAAGCAGUCCUCGCCUCGGGUGAGCCCAGAAGUCAAGCAAGAAUCGACUUCACACACUAAGAAUAUCAUCAUUAUCUGAGAAAGAGCUUAAAAGAUCAAAUAAGAUGAAGGAUUUUCCUUUUUUUCAUACUACGACAUUGACUAAGCUAAGAGAAGGAUUUAGGACUGACGGAGAGACUGAGUCAAGCACUAUAGCACAAGGAUUAUCAUUCGCUUGUCUCGAAGAUUCGAAGCAAAAGAACCUUCUCCGCUACGGGGGAAGAAAAGAAUAGACUGGGGUACGGAUUUACUUACUAUUCGACUCGAAGUGGAGGACUACCUAGAUUAGAAUGAGGAUUCAAUAUUUCGUGAUAGUUAUCAUGGAUUGAAAAGGGACGGGCCAAUAGCAACGCAGAAGUUUCAUACAAAGGUGCCUUGAACAGGCGGGGAAAAGACGUUUAAAGCGGAGGGAAAACCAAUCUCAGAAGGGACGGAUGAAAGGGAAAAUUCCUGUGAUUCUUGGUUAGCUGACUAAGAGCGGAUGGGGCGGGCAAGGAGAGCGGCAUUGCUAUAGGUUCGAUUCAUCAAUGUCGGUAUCUCAGUCACAGAUUGAUGUUGUCCUCAAAAUACCCCUUAGUUUUUACUCAACUAUAUCCGUAGUAUCAGGAUUUCGACCACCCGGUCGUUCUUAUGGAUCUCGAUAUGUUUGGCUAACUACGAUGGAAUAGAGCCAUUCUAAGUAGAACCCCUUCUUACGAUAUGUCAGAUAGAGCGGGAUCAGUCACGUAAUAGCCCCCAGCCCUUUCCUUACGAUGAUUCAUGCCUUGCUCGUGCCGUAAGAAUGUCGUAUGCAAAUGAAUUCACUUUUGGUAUAGAAUAAAUGGGCGAAAGCCCGAUGCAGCAACUUGCGAGGGGUUGUGCUUUGCUACUUGCUUAGGUUUCCAUCUAUUGUAUUUAUCUACAUGGGAAUGAAUUCGUCCGUCAAACCCGCCAUUUGUAUGCACCCGAACAUGUUCAAUCGACCUUCGGCGUAAGCGACUUCGUACUGCUAUAGGCUCUAGUUAGGACUUAGAUAUGAACACCCCCCCUUCGUUAGAAUCCACCCUAAAGUUUCUUAGUAAACAGGGAUCGUUCAGUAAUGACCUAGUCUUUCGCGAGACUUCAGGUUUACCUCUUUUGUUAGGUCUCGACUUCUCCGUUAUGAUCGCGUUUUGUACCCCUACUAAGAACUUGAGAGACGGAACUAUGACUCACGGAAGCGGUAUAUUAGUGCCUUAUGCGGGAAAUCCUUGCUUGACUUGUUGAUCAUCUAUCAUUACUGGCGAAGCAAGCAUACCGAUAAUCAACUCGCUUGAGAGAACAAUUCGAGAAGGAAGACCCCAAGCCAGCCCAAGCAAGAAAGAGGAACUAAAGUCAACUAAUGCUUAAGACAUCCAAGUUCGGACAUCUAAGCCAGUUCCGGUCCUUCCAUCUGCCUCUAUCUCAAUAGCUUUCAAAAUCGAGUGAUUUGAUUAGCUUACAUCGGAGGAUGGUCUAAAGCUGGCCCUUGCUAUCAGUCCAACCAAGGGCACCCCUUCCUAGUCCGCUUAGUCGGUUGAGUAAACAAACCCGGAUUCUAAUAUGGGUCGAGUAGUGAGUUCCACUUUCUCUUCCGCAGCAAGCCUAGUCUACUUUCGUAAAGUCAACAAGGCCUUACGUUUACCGUUGUUCCCAGACCAUGGCGUAUACCACCAUAGCAAUAGCAUAAGAAGAAUCCGCAUAUUAGUAGGGAAUGUUCCUAACUCCUAACCUCUAGACUGAAACUUCACCUGAAAGCAAGGCUUGAGAGCAAAGGAACCCGCGCAUUACACUACCAAUCCUUGGGCUUGGGCUUUACUUAUUCUUAUUUACAACAAAGGAAAAACCCAGCCAAGUUCUUCUAAAGUCAUUCUUUCUGGCAGCUAUCUAAUACCGGUCAAGAGCUGCCAUUGGACGAACUUUCAUCAAUUCUCUUUCCGGUUUGGUUUCCAAGAGGUGUCAACCAUAAAAAAAGAUCCUGUCCUUCAAAGAUCGAUCUGAUAAUUGCUUAAGUAAGGUAGUCGCUUCUCUUUUUCGGUAUACCGCUCUGCUCGCAGAGCGAAUUAACAUAAAUCUUUCCGAAUAUGAGGAGGAAAGUGAGAUCGUUGUCCGAUCUUUAUCGUCGAAUCCCCAAAUGUGCAUCUUCGAGUGUUUCAGCCGAUCCCCAAUCUCCCAGUAUCAAUAUUUCGGCUGCUCAAGCCGGUACAGGUACAGAAGUGGCUACAACGGAGCAGCUUACUCCUGAGAUGGAUUUACCGAUUGAACUAGAUUUACCCGCCCUUUUCACCUUUUUUCUGAAUUAUGGAAUUGAAGUUAUCUAAAAAAUGAACUGACAAAGCGUCUGUUCACGGAGAUUGUUGUAGUUUCCGUAGUUGCAAGAAUUUCUCACGAUUGGGUUGGUGUGAAGUCUACCGCCUGUCUAGCCUAUGCUUUGCAUGAACAUCUCAAUGUCCAAGAUAAAAGAACGAGGGGAAGAAUCGACGAGGCGAGUGUUCUCGAAGAGAAAAUCGUGAUGGAAAAAGCGUGAGGAGAAUUCGAAACUCGAGAUGUUAGAAGGUGCAAAAUCAAUGGGUGCAGGAGCUGCUACAAUUGCUUCAGCGGGAGCUGCUAUCGGUAUUGGAAACGUCCUUAGUUCCUCGAUUCAUUCCGUGGCGCGAAAUCCAUCAUUGGCAAAACAAUUAUUUGGUUAUGCCAUUUUGGGCUUUGCUCUAACCGAAGCUAUUGCAUCGUUUGCCCCAAUGAUGGCCUUUUUGAUCUCAUUCGUAUUCCAAGUUCGUUAGUAAUCGUUUACGGUGGGUGGAUAAGCAGGAAGGGAUCCCUGUGGUUAGACUAACUGGCCGAGAAGGCUAGUGAGGUUCCUGCUAUGGUGAAGUGAAAGAUCUUUCACUAUAGUGGGAAGAAGACAGGUGGGAGCGACGAGCGAGAGCGAGAGCAAAGCAAGUUUCAGUGGUGGGCUGUCUUCGCGGUCCC